rnacentral:rRNA from 1 species
CUACGGGCGGCUCCAGUAGGGAAUUUUGCGCAAUGGGGGCAACCCUGACGCAGCAACGCCGCGUGAGUGAAGAAGGCCUUCGGGUUGUAAAGCUCUGUCGAACGGGAAGAGGCGGCACACGGGUAAUAUUCGUGUGUUGUGACGGUACCGUUGGAGGAAGCACCGGCUAACUCCGUGCCAGCAGCCGCGGUAAUACGGAGGGUGCGAGCGUUGUUCGGAAUUACUGGGCGUAAAGGGUGCGCAGGCGGGAAAAUAAGUUACGUGUGAAAUCCCUAGGCUUAACCUAGGAACUGCAUGUAAGACUGUUUUUCUUGAGUAUCAGAGGGGGAGGCGGAAUUCCAUGUGUAGGAGUGAAAUCCGUAGAUAUAUGGAGGAACACCGGAGGCGUAGGCGGCCUCCUGGCUGAUAACUGACGCUGAGGCACGAAAGCGUGGGUAGCAAACAGGAUUAGAUACCCCGGUAGUC